rnacentral:rRNA from 1 species
CAGUAGCCACGGUAAUACGGAGGGGGCUAGCGUUGUUCGGAAUUACUGGGCGUAAAGCGCACGUAGGCGGCUUGGUAAGUUAGAGGUGAAAGCCCAGGGCUCAACCCUGGAAUUGCCUUUAAGACUGCCGAGCUAGUAGGUGAGAGAGGUGGGUGGAAUUCCGAGUGUAGAGGUGAAAUUCGUAGAUAUUCGGAAGAACACCAGUGGCGAAGGCGGCUCACUGGCUCAUUCUAGACGCUGAGGUGCGAAAGCGUGGGGAGCAAACAGGAUUAGAUACCCCCGUAGUCCCUGUCUCUUAUAC